GAUGAAGAACGCAGCGAAAUGCGAUACGUAAUGUGAAUUGCGGAUUUCAGUGAAUCAUCGAAUCUUUGAACGCACAUUGCGCCCGCCAGUAUUCUGGCGGGCAUGCCUGUUCGAGCGUCAUUUCAACCAUCAAGCCUUCGCUUGUGUUGGGGCCCCGCGGCUGCCGCGGUCCCCUAAAUCCAGUGGCGGGCUCGUCGUCGUACCGAGCGCAGUAGACAUCCUCGCUCCGGGAACCCGACGGGUGCCGGCCGUGAAACCCCCCACAUCAAGGUUGACCUCGGAUCAGGUAGGAAUACCCGCUGAACUUAAGCAUAUCAAUAAGCGGAGGA
rnacentral:misc_RNA from 1 species